UACGUAGGUGACAAGCGUUGUCCGGAUUUACUGGGCGUAAAGAGCGCGCAGGCGGUCGAUCAAGUCGAGUGUGAAAGCCCCCGGCUCAACUGGGGAGGGUCAUUCGAUACUGAUCGACUCGAAGGCAGGAGAGGGUAGUGGAAUUCCCGGUGUAGUGGUGAAAUGCGUAGAGAUCCGGAAGAACACCGGUGGCGAAGGCGGCCUGCUGGGCAGUAGCUGACGCUGAGGCGCGAAAGCGUGGGGAGCAAACAGG
rnacentral:rRNA from 1 species